AAUGAUGAUAUUUAUCGAGUGGAGGUCGUUGUAUGCCAUAUGUAUUGGUUGUACUCUUAACUAAGGAGUGUAGUGAUACUGGUAUGGCAUACAGGUGAGAUAUAGAAGUACAUCAUCACUGAAUAGGUAACUCACCUACUAAGCAUUCUGCUAUUAAGAGCUGCUCGCGAUGUAUAUGAGUAUAAGUAUUCCUCAGACUUGAGAUCAUCAUAGUGAC
rnacentral:lncRNA from 1 species